CCUACGGGUGGCAGUAGUGAGGAAUAUUGGUCAAUGGGCGCAAGCCUGAACCAGCCAAGUCGCGUGCAGGAUGACGGCCCUAUGGGUUGUAAACCGCUUUUGUACGGGAAUAACGCGCGUUACGCGUAGGGUUCCGAGUGUACCGUAUGAAUAAGCAUCGGCUAACUCCGUGCCAGCAGCCGCGGUAAUACGGAAGGUGCGGGCGUUAUCCGGAUUUAUUGGGUUUAAAGGGUGCGUAGGCCGAAAGUCAAGCGUGCGGUGAAAUUUGCGGGCUCAACCCGGGCCGGGCCGCGCAAACUGGCUUGCUUGAGUGCGCGGAAAGCAGGCGGAAUGCGUCGUGUAGCGGUGAAAUGCUUAGAUAUCACGAAGAACCCCGAUUGCGAAGGCAGCAUGCUGGAGCUGAACUGACGCUGAUGCUCGAAAGCGCGGGUAUCGAACAGGAUUAGAUACCCCAGUAGUC
rnacentral:rRNA from 1 species